rnacentral:tRNA from 1 species
GCGGGUAUGGCGUAACUGGUAGCCGCGCUAGACUUAGGAUCUAGUGCCGAAAGGCGUGGGGGUUCGAAUCCCUUUACCCGCAC